GGAAGAAUAGCAAAGUAGUUAUGUAUUGGGACUUCUAACCUCGUGACGGGUGUGGACAUCCUCUUCU
rnacentral:tRNA from 1 species